CCGAGUUGCAAAACUCCCUACACCCGUGUGAACCAUACCUAUACGUUGCUUCGGCGGACCCGCCCCGGCGCCUCGGCGACCGGAACCAGGCGACCGCCGGGGGAAAACCACAAACCAUUUGUUUCUCCAGUGGAUCAUCUGAGUAAACAAACAAAUGAAUCA
rnacentral:misc_RNA from 1 species